UGGGCGGAGAGCGGAGCCAACGAACGAGCGAAAGAAAACAAGCUGCACAUCCCGUCUCACCUAGACCACCUCUCGUCCCCGCACCCACACCCAAUCCGGCGCCUCCUUUCCUCCCCCAGUCACCUCUCCUCCUCCUCCUCCCACAAUCGCCCCCAUCUCCUCCUCCGUCUCCAUUUCUGGUCGGGGCGCCGUCUCCUCUCCACCUCGUGCCCCCCUCUUCCCACUCCGCCACCUCCGCUCUGCUGCACCCCGCCGCUCCGAGGACCAUCGACGAGGUGAGGACAGCGGUGCCAUCGGACCCGCCGACCCGGAGCCCGCGCCCUCCUGACCAAGCACCGUCCGCCUCCUCCCCCUCCUGUCGACGCUCGCAGUCGUCCCCGGCCACACCGGCCGCCAUCGCAUCUUCGCACAAAAUGCAAGCUCGGCUGAUGGAUUGCAUACUAUUUGGCUGAGUUGUUUUGUUCUAAAGAUACAAACGAGCUGAAGACUUCUUUUGUAUGGAAAUUCACUAUGGAAACCAAAAUAAUGGUACUCUGCACAACUGUUGACUUUCUUGCAUCGGUUCUUCAUUCUAUAAGUCACACCUUUUCUAUUUGGUAAAAGAAGAGUGAGCUCAUGCUUGAACUCCCACCAUAUAUGUUAACACUAGGAUACUGUAUCAAACCUCUGAUCCUUCAUAGUUUUCCCUUGCAUUGCCUCCUUUAACUCUUCAGCUGGACCUUUGAAAAGAAUGAUUUUUUGGUUAUAUAAUUUAUUAUGUUUUUUUGGUUGUCGAGAGGUAGAAUGUAAAGUAGGCUGCUAUUUUCAUUAUAUUCAUAUGCAGAUAUUUGAUAUAAGUGAAUAUAUACCUUUUGGUAGUUGAAUGUGCUCUCCAUUAAUAUCACUGAUAUAUUUGAGCUUCAGAGAAGGAUAUCUAUGCCAUUUUGUUUUUGGUUUUUGAACAAAAGAGUGUUGUAUGUGUAUCGUAAAGAGGAUUAAGCAGCAAAAUUACCAAUUUAGCAGGAUGUGGCUGAUACGUAUAGAGUGGCUUUGCUUAGGUCUGGUGUUACUACUAUUUCUUUCAUUGUAAAACUGAAGUACGGCAAAGUUUAUAGAUUUAUCAACCAUGCUUUUGGUGCCAGUAGUUUUGACUGUAGCUGUUGUGCAAUUCCGUGUGUCUGUGAUCUAUUGUUUAAAUAUAACAUAACAUUAUGAAAUUGUUAGUUGUUCUCUAUGUAUGAGAAAUUAUGAAAGAACUGUCUGCUAGGGGUAAAUAAUCUUUUUCGCUGUUUGAUAAAACAGUUAGGCCGCUACCCUCUCAUAUAUUUUUAUUCUCUAUUGAAGAAAUUCCUAGCCUUCAAUACUAUUUUCUCCAUGGUUUUUAUGUUGUGCAUUCUACAAUGCAGGAUACUGAAUCAACAGUUACACGAAAGUUUGAUGUCGUGUGAGUAGCAGAAACUGAAAGAAUAAGCAUUAGUCCUCUGAGAAGAGGUUGACAUUAUAUGCCCCUUCAGUGCUCGCUUUUGUCUUCCCCUGAUGUUCAUCGUCUCAAGGCUACUGACCUAGGAGUAGUCAUAUGCAAGUUCUGGUUAUCGCCCUAUCCUCUUUCCUGCAGAGAGAUAUGGCGAGGGAGGUGGCGAGGAAGUCGUUGGUGAUCUUGAAGAAUGGCAAGACGCCGAGCGAUGCACCGUUGCACCAACUGCCCAAGAUGCCGAGCGACGCGCAGCUGCUGCCGCUGCCCAAGAAGAUGACAAGCACAAAUGAUGGUUUGAUCUGUGUGCAGUUGCAUUGUUUAUUUCUUAAUCAGUGGAGAUCAUUUUUAUUAAUUAUUUUGACACGAACCCUAUGCUUUCUGUCAAGAGAUUGUUUUUGUAGUUGCCUAUUUAUUGUUAUCUACCAUUUUUUAAAUCUUCUGCAGCAUAGCAUGUGCAGUACUAUACUCCUAUUAUGCAAAGACUUCGGGAGGAUUAGCAGUUUCAAAUUCUACUAUCGAGUUGUUUGCUCUUUUUGAAUUACAAAUGCCUACCCAAGGUGUUAUUUUCUCGCAUCCUAACCUUUUAAGAUAAUAUUCAGAUGAACUUCUGGAUGCAACGUCCUGGGCAUGUGCUUUCGAGCAAUAUUUGAAUAAAGAUAUCGGCAUUUUUUGUUUCCAUUUCCAGCACAGCUUCCUCUAACCAAUCCUAUUACUAUUUGUGUUCCUGAAAUUUCCAUUAAAGCGCGAGAGGAGCGAGGGUGGGGGUGUCGAGCUGCGACGAGGUGCCGUUCGGGCGCGAUUUUUCCACUAAUUUUCUAUAUUGCUUAUUUAUGCAUUUGUGACCAUAGCUUUCCACUUUAGCUCAUAAACUGGAUGGUAAAAUAGAGUUUGCCCACUUCAUAUCUAUGUUGUCUUAUUAGGAAAAUAGAGCUUUCCACUUUAGCUCAUAAACUGGAUGGCAAAAUAGAGUUUGCCCACUUCAUAUCUAUGUUGUCUUAUUAGGAAAAUAGAGUUUGUUUUAUAGCUGAUGCUUAGGGCCAGUUCUUUUCUCCCCAGCUUCUCCUAGAAUCGUCACUGCAUAUAUUUUUUACAAUCCUAUCUAGUUAAAGUCUAAUUAGCUAGGAUUGUAAAAAACAUAUGGAGUGGCGAUUCUGGGAGAAGCUGGGGAGGGGGGCGAUUCUGGUAGAAUCGCCCAAAAGAACUAGCCCUUAAUAUGUCUUAUCGACCGGUGAAUGCUUAACUUUAGCUCAUAAACUGGAUGGCAAAUGCUAAUUCUGAUGGGGCUUUUGCCAUUUAUUGUUUUAUGGUUGUCUAGACAGCUGAUGGCAUGCUUCUUUCUUGCUUAUUGUUAAUUCUUUUGUACAGGGUCCCUCAGCUACUUAUGCUUUGCUAGACAAUGAGAGUAUGUAGAUAGCAUGUAUGGUUUUUACAUUGUGUUUGCGCAGGUUGAGAUGCAUCACAUGAUGUUUUCCUUUUACAUUUAUAAGUAUUAUAGAGUCCUUUCUUUUUCCACAAGGGGCGGUAGCUGUUCCAUUUGAUUCGAAGGACAAAGAGUUGAUCACAAAGGAGUAGCAUUCAGGAUAUACACACACAUAAGAGUGUAGAACCAAAUUAUAUGAUGUAAUUGACCACUAUUUCUAUUAACUUCUCUUGUAUACAAUGUUCACGAGUUCAUGUAUUAAGUACAUUUUAUCGUGUCA